rnacentral:rRNA from 1 species
UGCCCUUCAGAGGGGGACAACAGUUGGAAACGACUGCUAAUACCGCAUACGAUCUAAUCUCGGCAUCGAGGAUAGAUGAAAGGUGGCCUCUACAUGUAAGCUAUCACUGAAGGAGGGGAUUGCGUCUGAUUAGCUGGUUGGAGGGGUAACGGCCCACCAAGGCGAUGAUCAGUAGCCGGUCUGAGAGGAUGAACGGCCACAUUGGGACUGAGACACGGCCCAGACUCCUACGGGAGGCAGCAUG